AGAAUCAACGCUGGCGGCGUGCCUAACACAUGCAAGUCGAACGAGAAAGUGGGAGCAAUCCCACGAGUAAAGUGGCGCACGGGUGAGUAACACGUGACUAACCUACCCUUGAGUGGGGGAUAACCUAGGGAAACCGGGGCUAAUACCGCAUAAUACCUACGGGUCAAAGGAGCAAUUCGCUUAAGGAGGGGGUCGCGGCAGAUUAGUUAGUUGGCGGGGUAAUGGCCCACCAAGACAGUGAUCUGUAU
rnacentral:rRNA from 1 species